CUCUCUCUCUCUCUCUCACACACACACACACACACACACUGAUUUAUGGGGUCUGAGCUGGGCUGGUCCUUCAGGAUGGGCAAGACCCAGCCCCCUGUCCUCCUCCCUCCCAUUGUAAAUAGACCUGCCACCCCCCCGCCUCCCACACACUCACCAGGCCUCCCACACACGCCCUCACUCAUUCCAGGGAAGCCCGUGUGGGGCGUGAACCCUACUGCCACGUCUAUCAGUCCUCUUGGUUUAUGCAAAGAUUUGCUGUAAAGUAGAUUUCUCUCUCCUUCCUCCCCCCUUCCUUUUAUUGUAAAUAUUGUCUCUAAAUGUGUAACAUAUUAUAAAGAAUUUAUAAGGAUUUUUAAAGAUGUUUUGCUCAUUUAAAGAAGUGUUGUAACAGUGUUGGAUAAACCUCCGGCCCCACGUCUGCAUGUCUCCUUUCACUGUGUCUUUGACACACCUAUCUAGGCAACAACUAAGAGUUCCUGCUUCUGAAAAGUUCUGUCUUAAAAGUAUAGUCUAUAUCUUGGAAAUAAAUGGCCUUCCUUGAGGCACAAGUCAGAUGUCUCACUUGUUCUGGAGGGAGGCGAGGGCCAGAGGAGGUGGGGGAAGAGUGAGGGUUAGGGGGGCUGGACCAGGUGGUGGCAGAGUGGAGGCAAAGCUCUUCCGCCUGGUAAUUUUGUAGGUGUCUUGUUCUGGGAGACCAGAGUGAGUGGUGGCAUGGGCACAGAAUACAAGACGGAAGGGCAGGUGACACUCAUUGCACGGAGGUUUCCAUGCCUCUGUAGAAAUACAGAGAGCGGGUCUAUUUUCCUUCUCAGGCCUGCCUGGACCUUCAGAAUGGUCCAGAGGUGCUGCUAUAACCAGACAAACAAUGGGGCCGGGCUGCCUGUCACUUACUUGAGCCAAUUAAGCAGAGACAGGGUUGAAUCGUUAUGAGCGUUUAUUCCAGUAUUGCCGCGGUAUGGGAGAGCAGCAGGUUGUCCACAAAAACCUCUCUGCAGCCACCAUAAGCCGGCUGCUUAUAAGUACAAAGAAAAGUAGGCAAAAGGGCAGUUUACAGAUAUGCAAAAGGACUAGGGGUCUCCAAAGGGCUUAGUGAUAUGCAAGGUCUGGGGUUAAGUGGGGAAAUAGCUAAACGGAAUGCCAAAAUUAACAGGUAAGCAGGCUGGAGAUUUGCAAAGGCCUGCAGGUAUGCAAAAAGAGCUGGGAAUCUUCAAAGGGCUGUCAGAUUUUGGUUUCUAUAACAAAUCUUUGUUAAUCUUUCCAUGAUAAUAGGCAGCUCCAAAUGGAGAGGAAGGGCUGCAUCUCUAGGUCAGCUCCAGCCAGGGUAGAGUGUGCCUUCUUUAAUCAGAAUAAAACAAUCCUGGUUAACAGAGCAUGAUGAAUAUUUCUUACAAUACUAGCUGGUUCCCCAAUAUUCUAUUUCUGCCCCCUUUCACUGCCAAGAAGACAGGAAGGAGGCUUGGACAAGGCGCAGGCCACUGAUAGGGCCCAUCCCAGCCAGCUGUCAUCAUAGGCACUCUAGGCCCUGACAGUAUCCCAAGAGGACAUUAUGGGUUCUGCCCACUGUCUUAUUCACAUGUGCAAACUCACAGCAUGGUGUGUUUUCCUUCUAUGUCUUGGCUCUAUAGUUUUCCUUGCCAGUUUCCAGGCUGCCUUUGAUGAGCCUAGUAUUCAUAUGUAAAUCAGGUGACAGUCAUCAAAGAUAACCAAGGGUUAUAGUGAGGGUUAGGGUUAGGGAUAGGGUUGUUACUGUUGUCAAGGGUCUAGGUCAAGUGUCAAGGGUUAGGGUCAGGGGUCAAAUUUCAGAGGUCAAAGGCCAGGGCUCAAGGUUGGGGUCAAAUACUGUUGAGGUCAAAGGUCAGCUGCCAAGGGUCAGGGGUCAAAGGUCAAUGUUCAGGAGUCAAGGGUCUGAGGUCUAGGGUUAUGGUUAGGGUUGUCAAGUUUUGGGAUCAAGGGUCAAAGGUCAAGAGUAA